AUUGAACGCUGGCGGCAGGCCUAACACAUGCAAGUCGAGCGGAGCGGCGGACGGGUGAGUAAUGCCUAGGAAUCUGCCUGGUAGUGGGGGAUAACGUCCGGACACGGGCGCUAAUACCGUCUACUAUCAGAUGAGCCUAGGUCGGAUUUGCUAGUGGGAGGGGUAAAGGCCUACCAGGGCGACGAUCCGUAACUGGUCUGAGAGGAUGAUCAGUCACACUGGAACUGAGACACGGUCCAGACGCCUACGGGAGGCAGCAGUGGGGAAUUUUAGACAAUGGGCGAAAGCCUGGUCCAGCCAUGCCGCGUGUGUGAAGAAGGUCGUCGGAUUGUAAAGCACUUUAAGUUGGGAGGCGUUACCAACAGACUAAGCACCGGCUAACUUCGUGCCAGCUGCCGCGGUAAUAC
rnacentral:rRNA from 1 species